AUUAAAAUUAAGAUUAUCUGUACACUGAAGCUAGCAUAAUCUUCAAUUUCCCAUAUGAAAGCAUUGGAUUGGCUGAGAUCGUCAAAUUGAGGAGUGGCCACUGGAGGUGAUCCUAGGCUGUAAUGUAAACACUGCCUUUUCUCUGAAAACGCUGUGUACAACAAAAAAGCCUGCAAGGACUGACUAUACUCCACAGAACAAAUACUUUAACCCCUUAAGGACCAAACUUCUGGAAUAAAAGGGAAUCAUGACAUGUCACACAUGUCAUGUGUCCUUAACCCCUUAAGGACCAAAUUUCUGGAAUAAAAGGGAAUCAUGACAUGUCACACAUGUCAUGUGUCCUUAAGGGGUUAAGGAGUUAAGCUGCAGUUGUUCUGGUGACUGUUUAUUUGUAAAGGCUAGCUAAUUCACAGUGAGUUUAUAUAUGUCUUUCUGAAUUUUAAAAUAAAUGGACUCUUAAUGGGAGCAGAGGGUGGGGGUUUUUGUGAUAUUGAACUCCGUAUGUUUACAAUCACUCGCAGUUCCCCUGCAGCCCUUCACUCUUCCUGAAUUGACAGUUCUGAGUUGGCAGUGUGCAGUCUUAUCCACUUCCUCUUCUAUAAGUCUAUUAUGGAGGGAGUGGAUCUCUCUCUCUCUCUCUCUCUCUCCCUCUCCCUCUCCCUCUCCCUCUCCCUCUCCCUUCCAAGCCUAUCCGAACAUCAGGUAGGAAAACAUAAGCAUCUGACAGGAGG